ACCACCACCCGGCUAAAAGAUUUGAUUUUUUGUUUUGUUUUGUUUUUGUUUUUUGAGACAGGGUUUCUCUGUAUAGCCCUGGCUCUCCUGGAACUCACUUUGUAGACCAGGCUUGGCCUCAAACUUAGAAAUCUGCCUGCCUCUGCCUCCUGAGGGCUGGGAUUAGAGGCGUGCACCACCACAAGCGGCAGCUGUUGAUAUUUUGCUCCAGUUAGAUAACUGUCUUUAUGCACACACAACCCUGGGGUGCACUAGGGAAUGGCACCCACUUGAUGAACUGAAGGGACAUCUCUUGACUCUGUCUGCUCGACAGCAAAGAGGAACAGGAUGUGGACUGACUUGGAGGGCCUGGGAGAGGCGGAUGACACUGGGGAGAGACGGUGCCUGGUGGACAAUGUCUGGGUCCCUCCUGCAGCUCAGGCUAGCAGCCUGUCCCCAACAGUGAUGGCUUAGCGAGGACAGUGACAAGUGAGCAGGUCAUGAGGACUGACAGUGAGGUCUCUGCUCCACAGAAAUAGAUGUGGCCACCGAACAGGCCAUGUGGGAGCCUCCCGGCAGAUACUUCUCAAUCCACAUCAGCUCCAGGAGUAUGGCAGCUGGGUCUGGGCCCCUGAAGACCAUGUGGAUCAGAGAGCCCUGACUGUGGGUUUUGCGCAGAGCCACAAUGGGCAGAUCUGAAGGGUCUGACAGAGAGUUAGAGUUCACACCCAACACAGGCAGCUGAGCAGCCUUGUACAACUAAAGGUUUUGCAGGCCCCUGCUUCAAAAACAACCCCUCUCCCCGACAAAAGCUUCUUCCUUGGCUCUGGGACCUUCGGUCAGCAUGUUGAGGUUCCAGGCUUAGGGGUCAUUUCCUGGGGGCCAGAGAAUUCUAUUCCACUCUGGUCCCUCAUGCCAUGCCACAGAGACCCUGUAGCUGUCCCAUUCCAACCCCGAGGACUUAAAGAUGCCACGUCUUGCCAGAGGGACACCCUCUUUGGGAGGUAAACCCGCAGCUUGACCCUGGAGGAAUUCAGCCAGAGUGGAUACUGUUUUCUUCUGGAAGGUUCCCUGGCUGCCGUUUACCCCGCCUCCUGGCCUUCCUCCCUAGGACUCCGUGCUGUUUUUCUGGCUUCCUUAGUUUGGUGACAUUCGUGAGGGGAAAAAAAAUAUUGCAGUGGGUAGGAAGGUCUUGCUCAAAAUCCAAAUGGAAGAGAAAAACAAGAGCAGAGAAGGUUAGAAAAUAAAGAUAGAAAAGCCUGGCUGGAAGCUGUGAAUGUAGUUAUCCCAGGGUUGGAGAAGCAGAGGAGGUCAUCCUGGGCUACAUAGUAAAUCUGAGACCAAGCCUGGGCUACAGGACCAUGUCUC
rnacentral:lncRNA from 1 species